UACGUAGGCAGCAAGCGUUGUUCGGAGUUACUGGGCGUAAAGGGUGUGUAGGCGGUUGCUUAAGUUUGGUGUGAAAUCUCCCGGCUCAACUGGGAGGGUGCGCCGAAUACUGAGUGACUCGAGUCCGGAAGAGGAGAGUGGAAUUCCUGGUGUAGCGGUGAAAUGCGCAGAUAUCAGGAAGAACACCCGUGGCUAAGGCGGCUCUCUAGUACGGUACUGACGCUGAGACGCGAAAGCGUGGGGAGCGAACAGG
rnacentral:rRNA from 1 species